rnacentral:lncRNA from 1 species
ACCGUUUCUUUUAUUCCUAUUUUUUUUUCUUUAAUGAACAACCCAUUUAGGGUUACAACAAAAGCACAGAACAAGUGAACAAGAGCAGACUCGCAGCCUCGUAGGUAUCGAACAAGAACAACAACGCCUCCACCCUCACCCUCUUCCCUCCGGCUGUCCUCCUCCCUCCAGCGACCACCUCACCGUCCUCCCUGCAACGGAAGGAACCAAGCAGAAGGUUUGUAAUAUUUAGCGAAACUGCAAUGGAAGGAACCAAAUAGAAGGUUGUGUUAUCGAUUCCGGUGGCGAAAAGCUGAGGAAUUUGGGGUAAAUCAGGGAAAAUUGGAAAGGGUCAGAUGGCUAAACCUAGGGUUCUUGCAAUCACCAGUUAUGGAAUUUGGUCAUGGUGUAGAAUUAACAGAGAAAUUGGAGGAGUUGCAGAGUAGCUAUAGAUUGUCAACUAAAGGAAGCUUUAAUGUUGAUUUACAAUGACUAAUGAGGCAUACACACCUUCACAACCGAAGCAAUCUCACUUGUACGAUCUCCAAUAUAUUCUUUCGAGUCCCUUUGAACGAGAUUUUUGUGCUUAUAGUAUAAGACCAAGAUAGGUGUUGUUAAAAAGUUGUAAGAAUAAUCCAAAUCCAUACUAAAACAACUAGUUUUCUUUCACAAUCGCCGCGUUGCGGCGAACUUCUUUUGUUAUUUAGUCUGUGUUUACAUGUGUUUUGAAAUCAUUACGAGGGCGUUGCGCA